GCGGUUGUAGCGUAACGGUAGCGCGUUGCCCUGUGGCGGCAAAGGAGAGGGUCCGACUCCCUCCUCCCGCU
rnacentral:tRNA from 1 species